rnacentral:misc_RNA from 1 species
UGGCUCUCGCAUCGAUGAAGAACGCAGCGAAAUGCGGUAAGUAAUGUGAAUUGCAGAAUUCAGUGAAUCAUCGAAUCUUUGAACGCACCUUGCGCCCUUUGGCUAUUCCGAAGGGCAUGCCUGUUUGAGUAUCAUGAACACCUCAACUCUCAUGGUUUGUGAACGUUUGAUCUCAAAUCAGGUAGGACUACCCGCUGA